GAUGAACGCUGGCGGCGUGCUUAACACAUGCAAGUCGAACGGUGAAGCAGGAGCUUGCUCUUGUGGAUCAGUGGCGAACGGGUGAGUAACACGUGAGCAACCUGCCCCUGACUCUGGGAUAAGCGCUGGAAACGGCGUCUAAUACUGGAUAUGUGAUGUGACCGCAUGGUCUGCUUCUGGCAAGACUUUCGGUUGGGGAUGGGCUCUCGGACUAUCAGCUUGUUGGUGAGGUAAUGGCUCACCAAGGCGUCGACGGGUAGCCGGACUGAGAGGGUGACCGGCCAAACUGGGACGGAGACACGGCCCAGACUCCCACGGGAGGCAGCAGUGGGGAAUAUUGCGCAAUGGGCGGAAGCCUGAUGCAGCAACGCCGCGUGAGGGAUGACGGCCUUCGGGUUGUAAACCUCUUUUAGCAGGGAAGAAGCGAAAGUGACGGUACCUGCAGAAAAAGCACCGGCUAACUACGUGCCAGCCGCCGCCGUAA
rnacentral:rRNA from 1 species